GAUGAAGAACGCAGCGAAAUGCGAUACUGGGUGUGAAUUGCAGAAUCCCGUGAACCAUCGAGUCUUUGAACGCAAGUUGCGCCUCAAGCCAUUAGGUUGAGGGCACGUCUGCCUGGGCGUCACAUAUCGUUGCCUGAUGCCAGUUUCCUCGUGAUGGGUGACUGUGCAGGGCGAAUGAUGGCUUCCCGUGAGCAUUGUUGCCUCAUGGUUGGUUGAAAAUUGAGUCCUUGGUAGGGAGCGCCGUGAUAGAUGGUGGUUGAGUGACGAACGAGACCCAAUCAUGUGAGACCCCUACCGAAUUUGGCCUUCAUGACCCACAUGCGUCUUUGGAAGGCUCAUGACGAGACCUCAGGUCAGGCGGGGCUACCCGCUGAGUUUAAGCAUAUCAAUAAGCGGAGGA
rnacentral:misc_RNA from 1 species